AAGGGAUUUCUUCAAGUUGAAAUGAAAGAAUGCUAGAUAGCAACUUAAGUCAUACAAACAUAUAAAAUUCAUCAAUAAAGAUAACUACAUAAAAAUAUAAAAAAUAGUAUUUCAGUUUUAUUUGUAACUACACUUAUGUUCAAGAUUUAAAAUAAAAAAUGCACAAAACAAUUAUAAAGCUGUUAAUGAAUACACAAUACAUAAAGAUGUAAUCUGUGACAUACAUAACAUAAAGCAAGAGGAUAAAUUUAACCAAAGAAGUAAAAUAUUUGUACAAUUAAAAACUAUAAAACAUUGACAAAAGAAAU
rnacentral:lncRNA from 1 species